GACGUAGGGGGCCAGCGUUGCUCGGAAUUACUGGGUGUAAAGGGUUCGUAGGCGGUGUGGCAAGUCGGGAGUGAAAUCUCUGGGCUCAACCCAGAGUCUGCUUCCGAAACUGCUGUGCUUGAGUGUGGGAGAGGCGCGUGGAAUUGCAGGUGUAGCGGUGAAAUGCGUAGAUAUCUGCAGGAACACCCGUGGCGAAAGCGGCUCACUGGACCACAACUGACGCUGAGGCGCGAAAGCUAGGGGAGCAAACAGG
rnacentral:rRNA from 1 species